CUUCUCGACUAAACAUGCAUGCACUGACUGCAUGCAUAUGGGUGCGGGGAGGGUGCAGCCCUCCUUUCAGCCCUCUCCCGGCUCGAGUGCGCAUGUGUAUGUAUACAUAUUAUGUGAAUACAUAUUUCUCGAGCUCUAUAUAUUGAUGUGCAUGAAAUAUUGAAAUACAGUUGAAAGACGCUAUGCCAUCAUUGUUACAAUGUGCAAAUAUUACUCAGUGAGCUCCAUAUAUAUCUGGAGCGAGACUCUAGUUCAAAAAGUGAGGCCAAGAUGGCGAAGUUGAAGAUGUAUUGGACGUCUGUUCCAUUCCCUAUCUAAUGUUUUUGUCUGGACGGUUGACACAAACCUUUUGAAUUUAUCAAUAGAGUUAAUUAUAAAACCACAAGCAUUAGGCAAGACUUCUUGUCAGUAUAAAUGUAAUGGCACUAAAACGGAGGCUGGUCGCGCGGGGGUGGGGAGAUUCCACUAUUUUCCAAAAAAUAGUUUUUAAAACUCUUUUAAAAAAACUUUUAAAAGAGUUUUAAAAAGCAAAAAAGUUUAAAAAGUUAGAUUUUCAAAAUUUAAAAAAGUUAGGGUUAGGGGUUAGUUGAUAGUUGUUAGGGGUUAGUGGUUAGGGGAUAGUGGUUAGGGGUUAGUGGUUAGGGUUGGGGUUAGUGUUAGGUGCCGCGAAUUUAUUAUUAUGAUAAAUUCAAAAUGUGCCGCGAAUUUAUCAUAAUGAUAAAUUCGGACGUGUUUAAGAAUUUACUCAUAUAGUUAAUUCAAAGGUGGAGCUCAUGCUGUAACGAUGAUAACGAUGCUGGAAUUUGCUGGGGAAAUGGUAUUAAAACUGUUUAUGACCUUCAUAGCUAUUGGACGUCAAUUCCGCCAUCUUGGUUUCACUUUUCUCAUACGCCGAAUGCAUAUAUGACUGAAUAUAUAUAUAUAGAGAGAGAGAGUGCAUUGAUACUACUACAGUAUAUAGUACUGCAUGUGCAAUAAUAGUCCUGGGUUAUUACGAAAGUUACUUUUUUGUUAUGAGUAUACAAAGAUUCUUCUUUCCGCGGUUUAUGUGUUGUUCAAAACAGUCCAUGGAAUUCUUUGUUCUUGUGAAGUUCCUUCACUGAUACACAAGUCUUGAUCAGGCAAUAGUCUCCUUUGCUUUUACAUUUCCUUUCGAAACAUUGCUGUUGUUUGCGCAACCGGCGCAAUGCUUUCUUAAUUUUUGCCUAUGGAAGAAGAAGAUCGUAUUCAUAUGUAGGGCUUCGGUAGCGCAGUUGUCAGAGAAAACACAUUUCACCUAUGAUUCACAUUUGAGAUCGUGGGUUCGAUUCUAGCGUUGCCCACUCAUGUGAAAAGAGUCAGUCAACGCUAUGCCGAAAGUCGUAGGUUUUCUUUGGGUUCCCCGGUGUUCUGCCGCAGGGAAAGUUGCCUGGAAGGGUUAGGAUAAAUACAGUUAAG